GGGCCCGCACAAGCAGUGGAUUAUGUGGUUUAAUUCGACGCAACGCGAAGAACCUUACCAGGGCUUGACAUCUAACUAACGAAGUAGAGAUACAUUAGGUGCCCUUCGGGGAAAGUUAAGACAGGUGGUGCAUGGUUGUCGUCAGCUCGUGUCGUGAGAUGUUGGGUUAAGUCCCGCAACGAGCGCAACCCUUACGGUUAGUUGCUACGCGAGAGCACUCUAGCCGGACUGCCGUUGACAAAACGGAGGAAGGUGGGGAUGACGUCAAAUCAUCAUGCCCUUUAUGUCUUGGGCUACACACGUACUACAAUGGCGGCCAACAACGGGAAGCAAAGGAGCGAUCCGGAGCAAAUCCCCAAAAGCCGCCUCAGUUCAGAUUGCAGGCUGCAACUCGCCUGUAUGAAGUUGGAAUUGCUAGUAAUCGCGGAUCAGCAUGCCG
rnacentral:rRNA from 1 species